rnacentral:rRNA from 1 species
CCCGCUCAGAAACUUAAAUGAAUUGACGGGGGCCCGCACAAGCGGUGGAGCAUGUGGUUAAUUCGAAGCAACGCGAAGAACCUUACCAGGCCUUGACAUGCAGAGAACUUUCCAGAGAUGGAUUGGUGCCUUCGGGAACUCUGACACAGGUGCUGCAUGGCUGUCGUCAGCUCGUGUCGUGAGAUGUUGGGUUAAGUCCCGCAACGAGCGCAACCCUUGCCUUUAGUUGCCAGCAGUUCGGCUGGGCACUCUAAAGGGACUGCCGGUGUUAAACCGGAGGAAGGUGGGGAUGACGUCAAGUCCUCAUGGCCUUUAUGACCAGGGCUACACACGUACUACAAUGGCCGAUACAAAGGGCAGCGACACUGCGAGGUGAAGCCAAUCCCGUAAAAUCGGUCUCAGUCCGGAUUGGAGUCUGCAACUCGACUCCAUGAAGUUGGAAUCGCUAGUAAUCGUGGAUCAGCAUGCCACGGUGAAUACGUUCCCGGGCCUU